ACGAACGCUGGCGGCUGCUUAACACAUGCAAGUCGAACGGAGUGGCGAACGGGUGAGUAACGCGUGAGCAACCUGCCUAUGACAGUGGGAUAGCCUCGGGAAACCGGGAUUAAUACCGCAUCGUCAUAGAUGGGCUCGAGUCUGAUUAGCUAGUUGGUGAGAUAACCGGCCACAAAGGCGACGAGCAGUAGCCGGUCUGAGAGGAUGAACGAGCACAUGGGAACUGGGACACGGUCCAAACUCCUGCGGAAGGGAGGAGUGGGGAAUGUUGCACAAUGGGGGGAACCAUGAUGCAGCGACGCCGCGUGAGCGAUGAAGGUUUUCGAAUCGUAAAGCUGUGUCCUAUGGGAAGCGGUACCAUAGGAGGAAGCCCCGGCUAACUACGUGCCAGCAGCCGCGGUAAUUC
rnacentral:rRNA from 1 species